UAACUUCUAGAGAUUAGUGCAA
rnacentral:piRNA from 1 species